AUGGCUGUCGUCAGGCUCGUGUCGUGAGAUCGUUGGUUAAGUCCGUACGAGCGCAACCCUUGUCCUUAGUUACCAGCACGUUAUGGUGGGCACUCUAAGGAGACUGCCGGUGACAAACCGGAGGAAGGUGGGGAUGACGUCAAGUCAUCAUGGCCCUUACGGCCUGGGCUACACACGUGCUACAAUGGUCGGUACAAAGGGUUGCCAAGCCGCGAGGUGGAGCUAAUCCCAUAAAACCGAUCGUAGUCCGGAUCGCAGUCUGCAACUCGACUGCGUGAAGUCGGAAUCGCUAGUAAUCGUGAAUCAGAAUGUCACGGUGAAUACGUUCCCGGGCCUU
rnacentral:rRNA from 1 species